UAUAACCUCUAAAACUAAAUGUUUCGGUUGGUGGCGACUACAAAUGCCCCAAUGAAAAUCUUGGUACAGCAUACUGUCCCAGUCUCAUCUCCAGAAUCUCAGAUGCUGUCUACACCAAGCUAGGCGUGCCGGACAGUAACGCGGAAGGAAAUUUGGGCGUAUCUCCGGACGUCAAGGCCGGUAUCUUGGGCUCCAUCAACAGUACCGGCUGAAGGAGGUCAACCAUGCACCUUCAGCAACGCUGGCAGCGUCAGUGUGAUCUACUGCGAGUCCGACUGCUGUGACAACACUUGCUGCACCAACACUGACGAGGACAGCAGUGUAGCUGUAGUAGUUCUCAGUGUGCUGGCUGCUGUUGUGUUGAUAGCCGUCGUCGUUGUCGUUGUCGUGGUGUGGUGUAAACACAGACUUCCUUGUCGUCGUGGGAGAAGAGACAAGCGGCCUAUCACAGUUUCCCCCGCACAAGAUAAACCACGAAGCAUUGACAAGCCACGGCCCUAUAACGGCUGGUCGGUUCACAAUGAAAAACCUACUCAACAUGAUGAAGGAGCGAUGUACAGAGAGGGCACAUUCAGCAUCUUCGCUUAAACACAACCUGUAGCUGGACUUGGAUGGACAAACGGGAGUGGUCUCCCCCUUUCGACCACCGGAAACGGCUGACCCCAUUGUCUUGUGCAAAACGUUAUGCCUAUUAGUAUGUCGAUUCCGGCUGUCUGAAAGUUUGUGUAGCCUAUGGCGUGUUGGAUGGAAGUAUAGCUACAUUGGUAGUGCGUUCACUCGUGAUAGGAAAGAUCAGUUUGAAUCCCUUCUUCCAGAUCUGACACAGUACCCAAGCCACCAUCAACUCCGUGAAAGAACGUUUUCGCUUUGAUUUUUGAAUGGAAUAAAAUUACUGUCACUUAA